ensembl:lncRNA
ACAGCAGCAUUGUCCCUGACUCCCAGCCUACCAUGAAAACAGAGAGUACUAUGUAAGUACAUGGUCUCUGUCAUUCAAAUUACAAUUGAUUUAAAAUCUGAUUUUGAAUCAGACAUGUUUACUCAUAGAGGAGCUUUGAGACCGUGUGUGCGUGCGUGCAUCUCUGUGUGUGUUCGAACAGAUUCUCCCACUGGAGGAAAGUGUCUGUAUCUGAGAUGCUGCUGCCGGUACAGAGAGGCUUCCAGAAGGCACUGCCCAAACCAGAACUUGAGAACGUAGAGCAACAGGAGCGUCCGUCAUCGGCCCAGAGAGGUUCUGGGUCGGUCCCUGGGUCAGCAGUCAGCCACAAGCAGCUCCACGCCCAGCUCACCCAGCGCCUGGAGGAGGUCCUCCGCAAGAGGGACCGGGGUACUGGGCCCGAGGAGCGAGCUGGAGUCCAGAUCAGAGUGCCUGAGGAGCGAGGUAGGCCACAGGACCGAGGGUCCCGAGAGCGAGCUGGAGCCCAGGGAGGAAGCGGGCCUGAGGAGCAAAGUGGAGCCCAGGGAGGACGAGGGCCUGAGGAGCAAGAUGGAGCCCAGGGAGGAAGAGGGCCUGAGGAGCGAGGUGAGCCCACUGGGAGAGGUGCCAAAGUGUCACGGCAGGAUGCAGGAAGGCCUGGUCAGACCAAGGGGAAACCUAAGAGCCAGAAGUCUCAGGAAACUGAAGCCACCCCAGGGAAAGCCCCUGUCAAACCCACCCCAGCUAAAGAUAUACAGGAGAGGGCAACACCUAACUCCAAGGUUAAGGCCACUGGGUCAAACUCCAGUAAAGACAAGAGAGAGGAGGUGGUGACGGGCACCAUGAUGAGGUUAAUCUCCAGCCACUACGAGAAUAGCACAUCAUCCACCACCAUUAAAUCCCCUGUAGAGUCUGUCCCUCGCUGGCCCCUUCCACCCACCAACAGGUACUGCAGCAACAGAUCUGUUUUGGAGAAGAGUUGGUUGCCGCCAUCGAUGGUGAGUGCCUGAGCUGUUGUUUUCUGAUUGAUAAACAGAAUAAGUAAUAUUCAUUUUAAUUGUAUGAAUUUAGGUAGCAGAACGUGGUAGCAGACCGAACAGCUACCUCUGGUAAGAAGUGGGGUGGUGGUGUGUGUCUAUUUGUCAAUAACAGCUGGUGCGCGAUGUCUAAUAUUAAGGAAGUCUCGAGGUAUUGCUCGCCUGAGGUAGAGUACCUCAUCAUAUGCUGUAGACCACACUACCUACCAAGAGAGUUUAUCUAUAUUCUUUGUAGCGGUCUAUUUACCACCACAAACCGAUGCUGGCACUAAGACCGCACUCAACGAGCUGCAUAAGGCCAGAAGGAAACAAGAAAUUGCUCAUCCAGAAGCAGCGCUCCUAGUGGCCUGGGACUUUAAUGCAGGCAAACUUAAAUCCAUUUGACCUAAUUUCUACCAGCAUGUCACCUGUGCAACCAGAGGAGGAAGAAAAAAAAAACCUCUAGACCACCUUUACUCCACACACAGACGCGUACAAAGCUCUCCCUCCUUUUGGCAAAUCUGACCAUAAUUGUAUCCUCUUGAUUUCUGCUUACAAGCAAAAACUAAAGCAGGAAGUACUAGUGACUAGUAAGGAAGUGGUGAGAUGACGUGGAUGCUACGCUAGAGGACUGUUUUGCUACCCCGCAGAUCCUCAACACAAGGGCCCGUCGGGUACGUGCUUG